AGACGACACUUCCGUUUCUCGUUUCCUUUUUUCCUGUAUAACGUUUAACUUCGAAAGCAGGCGUUACGAAGCUGGGAACUGUACAUUACGUCAUCCUCCCUUUACAAAAGAAAUCAGAGCCAAGGGAAAGGACCCCAUUUUCGGGCGUUGCUUAACCGUAUUCAUAAAAGUUAUCGCUAUUGCGAUACUUUAAUUGAGUCAAGCGCCUUUUAAAUCGAAUCAUUUGAGUAAUAAUUGAGUAAAUAUUAAAAAAAAAA